GUAAUCUAUGUACAAGGAACUACUUGACUAUUAUUUACAACGCUUACACGCAGUGAGACAGUAGAUACGAUUCUGUUUAUGGCAGAGACCCAGACAAUCAUCAGCAUAGAGUGAGCUGGAAAUGAAUGCUGGAUAAAAACAAGAUAAUCGUCCUUCUACUCUCAACGCAUGUGUCUCCUUUGCAUAUAUUUUUCGAAAAUAGCCAAACUGUUCAAACUUACUGAAUUUUGCCUCAUGCACAAGGCACAAAUGUGAAGUAGAUUGGUAUCGACGUAUGUCUUCUGUUCGUCCGACAGGCUAGAUUUGAAUGUAAUUUUGUACAUAAAUACUAUGUUAUAAACAACAGACGUGAUUAACUUUUAAUAAAAACCCGUGUAUGCU